rnacentral:tRNA from 1 species
AGGAGUAUGGUGUAAUUGGUUAGCACACGUGACUUUGACUCACGUAGUUGAGGUUCGAGUCCUUAUAUUCCUGCAA